GACGAACGCUGGCGGCGUGCCUAAUACAUGCAAGUAGAACGCACAGGAUGCACCGUAGUUUACUACACCGUAUUCUGUGAGUUGCGAACGGGUGAGUAACGCGUAGGUAACCUGCCUGGUAGCGGGGGAUAACUAUUGGAAACGAUAGCUAAUACCGCAUAAGAACAUUUACUGCAUGGUAGAUGUUUAAAAGGUGCAAAUGCAUCACUACCAGAUGGACCUGCGUUGUAUUAGCUAGUUGGUGAGGUAACGGCUCACCAAGGCAACGAUACAUAGCCGACCUGAGAGGGUGAUCGGCCACACUGGGACUGAGACACGGCCCAGACUCCUACGGGAGGCAGCAGUAGGGAAUCUUCGGCAAUGGGGGGAACCCUGACCGAGCAACGCCGCGUGAGUGAAGAAGGUUUUCGGAUCGUAAAGCUCUGUUGUUAAGGAAGAACGUGUGUGAGAGUGGAAAGUUCACACAGUGACGGUACUUAACCAGAAAGGGACGGCUAACUACGUGCCAGCAGCCGCGGUAAUACGUAGGUCCCGAGCGUUGUCCGGAUUUAUUGGGCGUAAAGCGAGCGCAGGCGGUUAGAUAAGUCUGAAGUGAAAGGCAGUGGCUCAACCAUUGUAGGCUUUGGAAACUGUUUAACUUGAGUGCAGAAGGGGAGAGUGGAAUUCCAUGUGUAGCGGUGAAAUGCGUAGAUAUAUGGAGGAACACCGGUGGCGAAAGCGGCUCUCUGGUCUGUAACUGACGCUGAGGCUCGAAAGCGUGGGGAGCGAACAGGAUUAGAUACCCUGGUAGUCCAAGGGCGAAUUCCACAGUGGAUAUCAAGCUUAUCGAUACCGUCGACCUCGAGGGGGGGACAAGAUACCCAGCUUUUGUUCCCUUUAGUGAGGGUUA
rnacentral:rRNA from 1 species